rnacentral:rRNA from 1 species
UACGAAGGGGGCUAGCGUUGUUCGGAAUUACUGGGCGUAAAGCGCGUGUAGGCGGGUCUUUAAGUCAGGGGUGAAAUGCCAAGGCUCAACCUUGGAACUGCCUUUGAUACUGGAGAUCUUGAGUCCGGGAGAGGUGAGUGGAAUUGCGAGUGUAGAGGUGAAAUUCGUAGAUAUUCGCAAGAACACCAGUGGCGAAGGGCGGCUCACUGGCCCGGUACUGACGCUGAGGUGCGAAAGCGUGGGGAGCAAACAGGG